rnacentral:rRNA from 1 species
CCGGCGGCCAAAGGAAGCGAUUCCGGCCGGGGGAUGGGCAUGCGGCGCAUUAGCUAGUCGGCGGGGUAACGGCCCACCGAGGCGACGAUGCGUAGGGGUUCUGAGAGGAAGGUCCCCCACACUGGUACUGAGACACGGACCAGACUCCUACGGGAGGCAGCAG